GUAGGGGGCAAGCGUUAUCCGGAAUUACUGGGUGUAAAGGGAGCGUAGACGGGAAGACAAGUUGGUUGUGAAAUCCCUCGGCUUAACUGAGGAACUGCAACCAAAACUAUCUUUCUUGAGUGCUGGAGAGGAAAGUGGAAUUCCUAGUGUAGCGGUGAAAUGCGUAGAUAGUAGGAGGAACACCAGUGGCGAAGGCGACUUUCUGGACAGUAACUGACGUUGAGGCACGAAAGUGUGGGGAGC
rnacentral:rRNA from 1 species